rnacentral:rRNA from 1 species
GGCCAGACUCCUACGGGAGGCAGCAGUGAGGAAUAUUGGUCAAUGGUCGGGAGACUGAACCAGCCAAGCCGCGUGAGGGAUGAAGGUACAGAGUAUCGUAAACCUCUUUUGUCAGGGAACAAAGGCGGGGACGCGUCCCCGGAUGAGUGUACCUGAAGAAAAAGCAUCGGCUAACUCCGUGCCAGCAGCCGCGGUAAUACGGAGGAUGCGAGCGUUAUCCGGAUUUAUUGGGUUUAAAGGGUGCGCAGGCGCUUUGAUAAGCAGGGGGACACGGCCGGGGACCCACCCCGGGCCCGCCAUUGAAACUGGCGCUCUUGAGUGGAAGAGAAGUAUGCGGAAUGCGUGGUGUAGCGGUGAAAUGCAUAGAUAUCACGCAGAACCCCGAUUGCGAAGGCAGCAUGCCGGCUUCCGACUGACGCUGAAGCACGAAAGCGUGGGGAUCGAACAGGAUUAGAUACCCUUGUA